GACGAACGCUGGCGGCGUGCUUAACACAUGCAAGUCGAGCGGUAAGGCCCUUUCGGGGGUACACGAGCGGCGAACGGGUGAGUAACACGUGGGUGACCUGCCCUCAGCUCUGGGAUAAGCCUGGGAAACUGGGUCUAAUACCGGAUAUGACUCCAUGACGCAUGUUGUGGGGUGGAAAGCCUUGUGCGGCUGAGGAUGGGCCCGCGGCCUAUCAGCUUGUUGGUGGGGUGANGGCCUACCAAGGCGACGACAGGUAGCCGGCCUGAGAGGGCGACCGGCCACACUGGGACUGAGACACGGCCCAGACNCCUACGGGAGGCAGCAGUGGGGAAUCUUGCGCAAUGGGCGAAAGCCUGACGCAGCGACGCCGCGUGAGGGAUGACGGCCU
rnacentral:rRNA from 1 species